GGAAAGGUGACCGAGUUGGUUUAAGGUACUUGUUUUGAAAGCAAGAGAGCGAAUUGCUCCAUGGGUUCAAAUCCCAUCCUUUCCGCCA
rnacentral:tRNA from 1 species